UUUAACCAUCCGAAGAGAAAGCACCUGAUGCAGCCUGCGUGGUGCCUGACCCCUCCUCCCAGGAAGAAGUGCCCCAUUUCACUGGACCACUGUGUGCUUCAAUCAUGCAGGGAUAAAGGAACGGCAACUGCAUUUAUUUUAUUUCCCUAAGUGUAAUCUCUCUACACAGCAGAUGCGACAAUUUACUGCCAAACUUUGCCACACCACUUCGCUCCACUGGUGUCUGCUACUCGCUGGACUCUCGGCUUAUGCCGCUACAUGCCACCUUCCCUUGGAAGUGCGGUCCCAGAGCUCAAUCUUUUCACCUACCCCUUCCAUGAACAAAU